rnacentral:rRNA from 1 species
AGCGAACGCUGGCGGCAGGCCUAACACAUGCAAGUCGAACGGACCCUUCGGGGUUAGUGGCGGACGGGUGAGUAACACGUGGGAACGUGCCCUUCGGUUCGGCAGAACUCAGGGAAACUUGAGCUAAUACCGAAUGUGACCUACGGGGGAAAGAUUUAUCGCCAUUGGAGCGGCCCGCGUCUGAUUAGCUAGUAGGUAGGGUAAUGACCUACCAAUGCGAAGAUCAGUAGCUGGUCUGAGAGGAUGAUCAGCCACAUUGGGACUGGGACACGGCCCAGACUCCUACGGGAUGCAGCAGUGGGGAAUCUUGCGCAAUGGGCGAAAGGUUGACGCAGCCAUGCCGCGUGAAUGAUGAAGGUCUGAGGAUUGUAAAAUUCUUUCACCGGGGACGAUAAUGACGGUACCCGGAGAAGAAGCCCCGGCUAACUCCGUGCCAGCAGCCGCGGUAAUAC